rnacentral:rRNA from 1 species
UGGGGAAUAUUGCACAAUGGGCGCAAGCCUGAUGCAGCAACGCCGCGUGAGGGACGACGGCCUUCGGGUUGUAAACCUCUUUUAGCAAGGAAGAAGCGAAAGUGACGGUACUUGCAGAAAAAGCGCCGGCUAACUACGUGCCAGCAGCCGCGGUAAUACGUAGGGCGCAAGCGUUAUCCGGAAUUAUUGGGCGUAAAGAGCUCGUAGGCGGUUUGUCGCGUCUGCUGUGAAAUCCCGAGGCUCAACCUCGGGUCUGCAGUGGGUACGGGCAGACUAGAGUGCGGUAGGGGAGAUUGGAAUUCCUGGUGUAGCGGUGGAAUGCGCAGAUAUCAGGAGGAACACCGAUGGCGAAGGCAGAUCUCUGGGCCGUAACUGACGCUGAGGAGCGAAAGGGUGGGGAGCAAACA